rnacentral:rRNA from 1 species
UACGUAGGGGGCAAGCGUUGUCCGGAAUUAUUGGGCGUAAAGAGCGCGUAGGCGGCCACCGCAAGUCGACUGUGAAAUCUCCGGGCUUAACCCGGAAAGGUCAGCCGAUACUGCGGGGCUAGAGUGCAGAAGGGGCAACUGGAAUUCUCGGUGUAGCGGUGAAAUGCGUAGAUAUCGAGAGGAACACCUGCGGCGAAGGCGGGUUGCUGGGCUGACACUGACGCUGAUGCGCGAAAGCUAGGGGAGCGAACGGG